rnacentral:rRNA from 1 species
AGAGUUUGAUCAUGGCUCAGAUUGAACGCUGGCGGCAGGCCUAACACAUGCAAGUCGAGCGGCAGCGGGAAGUAGCUUGCUACUUUGCCGGCGAGCGGCGGACGGGUGAGUAAUGUCUGGGAAACUGCCUGAUGGAGGGGGAUAACUACUGGAAACGGUAGCUAAUACCGCAUGACGUCGCAAGACCAAAGUGGGGGACCUUCGGGCCUCACGCCAUCGGAUGUGCCCAGAUGGGAUUAGCUAGUAGGUGAGGUAAUGGCUCACCUAGGCGACGAUCCCUAGCUGGUCUGAGAGGAUGACCAGCCACACUGGAACUGAGACACGGUCCAGACUCCUACGGGAGGCAGCAGUGGGGAAUAUUGCACAAUGGGCGCAAGCCUGAUGCAGCCAUGCCGCGUGUGUGAAGAAGGCCUUAGGGUUGUAAAGCACUUUCAGCGAGGAGGAAGGCGUUGUAGUUAAUAGCUGCAACGAUUGACGUUACUCGCAGAAGAAGCACCGGCUAACUCCGUGCCAGCAGCCGCGGUAAUACGGAGGGUGCAAGCGUUAAUCGGAAUUACUGGGCGUAAAGCGCACGCAGGCGGUUUGUCAAGUCAGAUGUG